rnacentral:lncRNA from 1 species
GAUCCUCCUAAGAUAUUAGGUCCUCCGUUACCAUCAAUAAGUACAGCUGGAGGAUCUCACAAUUUUACAUGCAGAGCUACCGGGCAUCCUGUUCCCGUUAUUUCAUGGACUUUCGAUUCGGUAUUAUGUAUAGUAUACACAAUAAUUGAAUUGAUAACAAUAACUUGAGAAGGCAGCUCAUAUAUGAAUAAUGUUUUAAAAUACACUAUACUCAGUGUCUAUCAUCUUCUGUAUGUUUUUCUAUAGGUUUAGAUUUCAUAAUAUACAUCAGUAGAUUAUACAUGAAAGCUCAUUUACAUAGUCAUAGCUUUUUUGGCGCUUACAUGUACUUAAAGUCGAUUUAGUUUCUGCUGUGUGGUAUGUGCAACCUUUGUGAGUACAUACAUUAUUCAUUAUUCUUGUGAAAAUUGUCCACAAAUUAAAUGCGUUUCGAUUAGAAAAUAACAAAAUAGAUAAAAAUCAGAGAAAAAAAAGCCAGCACCUUCAAUUUGUGUCAUUGCAAGUUAUUAAAGUUGUAGACAUAUUUAUAAAAAAAUUAUGCCCAAAUUUAAACGUAAAGUCAAUGGGUUGUCUUCAUUUUACUCUUCGUGUAUUUAAAGUUCACUCGUAUUCCCACUGGCUUACCCCGACAUGUUACCUUUGAAAAUGGAGCUGUAUUAAAACUAGUAAAUAUGCAGGAUUCUGGUCAGUUGACCUGCACGGCAGAAAAUGAGUUUGGAUCAGACACAAAGUCAGCCAAUGUUAUUGUCAAACAUUGUAAGUUUAAGCUUUGUAACGAAAACAAAUGUUACUCGUUGUUCACUUAUUUAUGGUAAGGGCUUAAUAAAUUGAUCGUGUUCAUUUAAGUAUGUCUGUGUGUUUGUAUUUUCUAUUAGAAUAUGACUGACUAUACGUAUGCUGAAUAGAAAUUGAUAAAAAAUUAUGAAUAUAUUAUAUGAAUAAUUAUUGUAGUCUUGAAUAGUAAUUUUUAUUUGAGCAACAGUUGAACUAUAAGUAUUGAAAAGUCAGGAUAAAUCUUUCAGUAUAUCUUUUGGACUUACAAUAGAACGCAGUUACAUUAGUACCGUUAUGAAUCUGUUCAUGUUAAUCCGUAUGUUCUUUGUGUGGGAAUGUAAAAAAAUAAAAAAAAUAGCCUAAACAUAGAUUCAAAAGAUCUUAAGUGAUUGCAAGCAAAGUGUCUAAACAGUAUUAAAUCAACCAAAGCAGAUAGUUCUGCAAAUAGAAUGAAAGACUAAAAAAUUGCUCAGAUGAAUAUAAAAUUGAAAAUGUUCCAAUAGUAGAUGGUAGUAAGGGGUUUCACUAAUUUAAAUAGUGAUAUUUAUGAUACUACAAAUACUUUUAUUAAUAAUGAUUGAUUGAUUGGUUGGUGUGUUACUUUAAGUAGCAAAUACUUCAUGUAUUUUAACAUGUUAAUGGACGACUGAUAAUAAAACAUUUGUAAAAAAUAUAAGAAUAAUAAAAAAUAAACAAGGUAAAAAAUAUCAUGAAAUGGAAACAAUAUACUUUUUAUUUUAUUUUACAGCAACAGCAGUGAUUGGAUAAAUCAAGACAAUAUCAUUCCUUAGAAAG